UACGAAGGGGGCUAGCGUUGCUCGGAAUCACUGGGCGUAAAGAGUGCGUAGGCGGGUCUUUAAGUCAGGGGUGAAAUCCUGGAGCUCAACUCCAGAACUGCCUUUGAUACUGAGGAUCUUGAGUCCGGGAGAGGUGAGUGGAACUGCGAGUGUAGAGGUGAAAUUCGUAGAUAUUCGCAAGAACACCAGUGGCGAAGGCGGCUCACUGGCCCGGUACUGACGCUGAGACGCGAAAGCGUGGGGAGCGAACAGG
rnacentral:rRNA from 1 species